CGAACGGGUGAGUAAUGCGUGACCAACCUGCCCCAUGCUCCAGAAUAGCUCUUGGAAACGGGUGGUAAUGCUGGAUGCUCCAACUUGACGCAUGUCUUGUUGGGAAAGUGUUUAGUGGCAUGGGAUGGGGUCGCGUCCUAUCAGCUUGUAGGCGGGGUAAUGGCCCACCUAGGCUUCGACGGGUAGCCGGCCUGAGAGGGCGGACGGCCACAUUGGGACUGAGAUACGGCCCAGACUCCUACGGGAGGCAGCAG
rnacentral:rRNA from 1 species